CAGCAGCCACGGGAAUACGUAGGUGGCAAGCGUUGUCCGGAAUUAUUGGGCGUAAAGGGCUCGCAGGCGGUUUCUUAAGUCUGAUGUGAAAGCCCCCGGCUCAACCGGGGAGGGUCAUUGGAAACUGGGAAACUUGAGUGCAGAAGAGGAGAGUGGAAUUCCACGUGUAGCGGUGAAAUGCGUAGAGAUGUGGAGGAACACCAGUGGCGAAGGCGACUCUCCGGUCUGUAACUGACGCUGAGGAGCGAAAGCGUGGGGAGCGAACAGGAUUAGAUACCCCUGUAGUCCCUGUCUCUUAUAC
rnacentral:rRNA from 1 species